UACGUAGGGUGCAAGCGUUAAUCGGAAUUACUGGGCGUAAAGCGUGCGCAGGCGGUUAUGCAAGACAGAUGUGAAAUCCCCGGGCUCAACCUGGGAACUGCAUUUGAGACUGCAUGGCUAGAGUACGGUAGAGGGGGAUGGAAUUCCGCGUGUAGCAGUGAAAUGCGUAGAUAUGCGGAGGAACACCGAUGGCGAAGGCAAUCCCGUGGACCUGUACUGACGCUAAUGCACGAAAGCGUGGGGAGCAAACAGG
rnacentral:rRNA from 1 species